CUUAGUACACAGGCAGCUUUUCUGGCACAAAUCCAUUCUGUUUGCUGAGGUCUAUCUUAUUAAAUAUGCUUCCCAUCAAAUUGGGAGACCAUCACUUGUCCUUUUAGAGAAGAAAAGCUACAUCGUUAGGAGCAGUGGUGAUGAGGGCCCACCAUCCUGCAAAGCGAGGAAUGCAGAGAGGACGCGAGGAGCCGUGCUGUACGUCCACGUGGCACAGCCAUGUGAUUCGGGAAGAGGAGACCAAAUGGUUUCGCGUCUUAAUCCCCGUGGACCUGAGCCACCAGGGCUCACCGGUCUCAUGAUAAAGGCCUGGGAAAGCAAAGUCACGCAAGCAUCUACAAGAGCAGCUACCAUUCAGCACAGAUUCAGCAACUGUCAUUAGAGAGAUGCUUUUUUUCUAAAGCGGUCAUGGUAGAAUUGCAUCUUCAGGCUGUUGGAUGGCUCACGCCAGAAGUGUCUCCAUGCGACCUGGGGAGAAGAAGAAGAACACAGAGAAACAAAGUCCAACAGU